UACGUAGGUGGCAAGCGUUGUCCGGAUUUACUGGGCGUAAAGAGCGCGCAGGCGGUCGUCCAAGUCGCGUGUGAAAGCCCCCGGCUCAACUGGGGAGGGUCACGCGAUACUGGUCGACUCGAAGGCAGGAGAGGGUAGUGGAAUUCCCGGUGUAGUGGUGAAAUGCGUAGAUAUCGGGAGGAACACCAGUGGCGAAGGCGACUACCUGGCUGUUUUUGACGCUGAGGCGCGAAAGCUAGGGGAGCAAACAGG
rnacentral:rRNA from 1 species